GGAUGAUUAGCUUAGUGGUAGAGCGCUUCCUUCACACGGAAGAGGUCGUUGGUUCGAUCCCAAUAUCAUCCA
rnacentral:tRNA from 1 species